rnacentral:rRNA from 1 species
UGUAAGAAUAAAUGGUCGAACAGACCAAAACUUUAAACUUCUACACCUAAAAUUUAUCUUAAUCCAACAUCGAGGUCGCAAUCUUUUUUUUCGAUUUGAUCUCUUAAAAAAUAUUACGCUGUUAUCCCUUAAGUAACUUAAUCUCUUAAUCAUAAAUUAUGGAUCAACUCAUUUAUUAAUGAAAAAAAGUUAAUUUAAUUUUCCUAUCACCCCAAUAAAAUAAACUAUAAAGUUUUAAAGGGUCUUCUCGUCCUUCAAUCUUAUUUUAGCUUUUUAACUAAAAAAUUAAAUUCUAAAUCAAUUUAUUAGAGACAAUAAAUAUUUCAUUCAAUCAUUCAUUCAAGCUUCUAAUUAAGAAACUAUUUAUUAUGCUACCUUUGCACAGUCAAUAUACUGCGGCCUUUUUCAAUGGGCAGAUUAGACUUUAUAUU